rnacentral:tRNA from 1 species
CAUUAGAUAACUUAAAGCAAGUACUGGUCUCUUAAACCAUUUUAUAGUAAUUAACGCCUACUUCUAAUG